rnacentral:lncRNA from 1 species
GCAGAUCCUCUUGUUACGGUCUCAGUGGAGGAAGUCAGUACCAUCUCUUUCAUAAAUCUCAAUCUAUUUGAGGACAUCCUUCAACUUUAUCUUUAGAGAGAAUGGCCACAUUCUGCUGGCUGUGACCCAGUCUCUCCAGAGCCCAGCCGUGGACAUAAAAUUUGGAAAAGGGCCUGGCGAAUGCCACGUCUAGAGAAGGAUCAUUUCCUGGGGCUUUUGGGUUAUGUUCCUAUUAAUAUAAAUCAUCGUCUCCAUUUCAGAAGAAGAACCAAAACACAUCUGAUCUGCUCUUAAAGGAAACUCAAUUGUGACAAGCAGAGGAAACUAAAGAGGUAAGAGUAUUUCCUUGCUAGUGGUAGAAUUGGCUCUAGAACCAGAAAGGUUAAAUUAUAAAUCUUUGGCAAAACACAGCUUUCUUUACGUCAUUUUCCUCUGGGACUAGAUGAGAAACAGCUGGGUAUUUGGCUAGAGAAACCGCUGGAAAAACUCACGUUGGUUAACAACACUUCUCCCAGACCUUCACAUGGUGAUUGCAGUUCAUCUCAGCUCUAAUGCCACCUCCUCAGAGUCUCUUUCUCUGACACUCAACCCCAUGCCCUCUUCUUAAACAUAUCACCCUCUUCCUUUAGGGCACUUAUCACAAUCGGGAAUGAUCUUAU